UACGGAGGGUGCGAGCGUUAAUCGGAAUUACUGGGCGUAAAGGGUGCGUAGGUGGUUUAGUAAGUUAUCUGUGAAAUUCCCGGGCUUAACCUGGGGAGGUCAGCUAAGACUGCAAGACUCGAGUAUAGGAGAGGGUAGUGGAAUUUCCGGUGUAGCGGUGAAAUGCGUAGAGAUCGGAAGGAACACCAGUGGCGAAGGCGGCUACCUGGCCUAAUACUGACACUGAGGCACGAAAGCGUGGGGAGCAAACAGGAUUAGAUACCCUGGUAGUCCACGCCGUAAACGAUGUCAACUAGCUGUUGGUUAUAUAAAAGUAAUUAGUGGCGCAGCAAACGCGAUAAGUUGACCGCCUGGGGAGUACGGUCGCAAGAUUAAA
rnacentral:rRNA from 1 species